GAUAACCAGUUCAUCCCAAGAAUAACGUCAAAAUCAUACAUAUUUAGCUGAAUCAAAUCUGCUGCUAAUUCUUUUUCUUCUAUUUGGAUUAUGCAAUUCUUGAAAAUAAUGUCAGCAACAACAAUAUUUUUAAAAGGUGUGCUAACAUAUAAUGGUUCAUUUAGUUUUCCAGACACACAAUUCAAAGAAGUAGCAAACUUGAGAGAUAUAAAAGAGUGUGAAGAGUCAGAAUCGAAUAACACACGAGCAUAAAUAGAAUUGACUGGGAUAAUACCUGUCACCACUUGAUCAUUUGCAUUGGCCUCCUGCUGGUUUAAAGUAAACACUCGUGCGUUUCCUUUUUAUUUUUGAUCAACUGGUUUGUUAGAUCUAGUGUCAUCUCUUUUCUUAUUUGGGCAAUCACGAGCCAUAUGUCCUUUUUUACCACAUAAGAAGCAUGCUCCAAUCCUUUUGAGACAAGGUCCAUUGUGAUUUUUUUCACAGUAGGAGCAGGAUGAAGAUUCUUUCUUCUUAUCAGAGUUAUUAUUUUUGAAAUUUUUCUACUGAUCCUUUAGAUUUCCUGCUGAUCUCGGUCUCUUCUUAUCUCCUCUUUCUAGUUCUGCUCUUUUCAACUCAGAUUCCACUUUCAAAGCUCGCUCCAGUACGUCCUUGUAGUUAUUGAAAAUAUGAGAAGAUAGACGGGAUCGAAUUUCAUAUUUUAGAUCUUGUUCAAAUCUGUUAGCUUUACUCCUUUCGAAUUCCAUAAGCUGGGGGCAGAAGCGGCCUAGCUCAUUAAACUUGUUAGCAUAUUCUAGCACCGUCAUAUCAUCCUUUUGCUUUAAGGCUAGAAACUCAUUUUCUUUUAC
rnacentral:lncRNA from 1 species